UGGCGAUUGUAAUAAUUAGCAAUAUCUUUUUCUUUUUCUUUUUUAUGCUUUUUAAAAACCAAUGCAAGAGUUAGCUGUACUCCUACAUGAAUGCAUCUACCUAUGUUGAAUUCAAUUUGUCUUAAAAGGAAACGUAAAGCAUCUCGGAAAACCCAAUUACUGCAUUGCAUCGCUUAUAACUGGAAAUCUAUUUAUCAUAUAAUAGAGUGCUUUCCCUUGAUAAAUAUUAACGAAGUAAUGUUCUGGUGAACACUAUAACUUUUUUAUAGCCU